UAGUAAUCUGGUAUAGGUUGCAGCUUACCUAGACUUGGUUUAAACAUAAGGAAAUCUUUCUAAUGGUGAGAGCUGUCCAAGAAGACCACGGUCCACCAACUAAGAGGUUGGCUUUUCCAACAGGGCAAGAGUCUACUAAAUAAGGCUGUGAGUUUCCCAUCUCUGGAGACGUUGAAGAUGUUGGAUAGUUUAAUUGGUUUUCCCGCACGUUAUGUGAGGGCCAGAAAAAAUAUUAUUUCUGGAGAGCGUCCUGAUUCCAGAAUUCUGCAUGAUAUUCAUUUUCUAGGCACAGCAGCCAGCAUCCUGCCCCAUGCAAGGACCAGGACUACACUACCUGGAGAACCACUCCAGACUCAUGGAGAAAUUUGCCAAACUUCAAAAAGCCAACCUGGAAAUUCACCAUAUAUGUCAAAUACUGGAGUGCCAAGUCCGCAUCCUAGAACCUGGAAACAAGAGUGAUCACACCAUGCUGUCCACCAUUGACUCUGACAGUUUAAUGGACCAGGCAUUGGGCAGCUCUCAGACGGGCCAUCAGGCAUGAAGCGUAAGGAGGUCCUAUGGGACCGACAUCACCCUGAAGAGGUGACAAAGACAGAGGGGAUACUCUGUAGAUCACGACAAAGAUGGCAGUCCCCUCACUGGUCCAGAGGAAGCCCUCAAA